UACGGGGGGGGCAAACGUUGUUCGGAAUUACUGGGCGUAAAGCGCGUGUAGGCGGCCAUCUAAGUCGGGCGUGAAAUCCCACGGCUCAACCGUGGAAGUGCACUCGAAACUGGAUGGCUAGAGUCCUGGAGAGGAAGGUGGAAUGCUUGGUGUAGAGGUGAAAUUCGUAGAUAUCAAGCGGAACACCGGUGGCGAAGGCGGCCUUCUGGACAGUGACUGACGCUGAGACGCGAAAGCGUGGGGAGCAAACAGG
rnacentral:rRNA from 1 species